rnacentral:misc_RNA from 1 species
AAUUUGGGUCUGGAAAGGCGAUUAAAGCACGGGUACCUGUCAUUUCUGGGGAAGUAGGAUUAAUUCCCCAUCCAACCCACCCAGAAGGUGAAAUAAAUGUCCCAAAGAAAACAAGGUCAAGAGUGGAAUUGUGAGUAUGAAAGGUCCAAGCCAUUGAAGCUUGUUGGGUAGGAAGUGUCAUGCAUCUCUGAAAGGUUUUAGAAGAUGUGAUGGUGGCACAGUGAGCAGAAAAUGCAAGGUGGACAUUGGAGAAGAAGAGAAAGAACAGGAACAGGAGAAGCAUGGUGGUGGUUGAAGAUCACAAAGGAAUAGAUUAG